rnacentral:rRNA from 1 species
GACGAACGCUGGCGGCGUGCCUAAUACAUGCAAGUAGAACGCUGAAGGAGGAGCUUGCUUCUCUGGAUGAGUUGCGAACGGGUGAGUAACGCGUAGGUAACCUGCCUGGUAGCGGGGGAUAACUAUUGGAAACGAUAGCUAAUACCGCAUAAUAGCAGUUGUUGCAUGACAACUGUUUGAAAGGUGCAAUUGCACCACUACCAGAUGGACCUGCGUUGUAUUAGCUAGUUGGUGGGGUAACGGCUCACCAAGGCGACGAUACAUAGCCGACCUGAGAGGGUGAUCGGCCACACUGGGACUGAGACACGGCCCAGACUCCUACGGGAGGCAGCAGUAGGGGAUCUUCGGCAAUGGACGGAAGUCUGACCGAGCAACGCCGCGUGAGUGAAGAAGGUUUUCGGAUCGUAAAGCUCUGUUGUAAGAGAAGAACGAGUGUGAGAGUGGAAAGUUCACACUGUGACGGUAUCUUACCAGAAAGGGACGGCUAACUACGU